rnacentral:rRNA from 1 species
AACGUAGGUGGCAAGCGUUUAUCCGGAUUUACUGGGCGUAAAGCGUGUGCAGGCGGGGGUACAAGUGGUGUAUGAAAUUUCCCAGCUUAACUGGGAAGGGUUAUGCCAGACUGUACUUCUGGAGUGCGAGAGAGGGGCGUGGAAUUCCGGGUGUAGUGGUGAAAUGCGUAGAGAUCCGGAGGAACCCCAGAGGCGAAGGCGGCGCCCUGGCUCGCAACUGACGCUCAGACACGACAGCAUGGGGAGCGAACGGG